UGGCUUUGUCAUUGUACUCCCAGCAGGAUGCUCUUUUGCCUUGCCCCACCGUUCAGUUUAAUCCUCCAGAAAGAAAAUUUUUAGAGGUACAUCGGACUAAAUCAUUUUCGUCUGAGCACACCGUUUCCAAAUGGCCGCCCAGGGUCCUAAAUCCGGCGGCUGCGGAGAGGGACUAGCGGGUGUUCUCCUCUGCAGAGCCGUGGCACUCCAGCGCCUUCAUCACUGGACGUUGGAAGCCGGGAAGGAAACCCACACACUCAGGGAUAGGGGUGUGUGUGUAUAUAUAUGUGCAUGCAUAAGUAUUCAUUCUUGAACUUCUAUACUGAAGUCAGUAGUGAUCUUUAUAAAUAAGUUGCUGGCAUACCUCAUCACAAAUAAUUAUGUAAUAAAGAGAAAAUAUAAACAAGAUGGAUGUAGAACAAUAACGAAACUGAAAACAUUAUGUCUUACAUAAACUAAUAGCAGCUACAAUUUUUGCUUUUAUUGUCUUGGAGAAAACAAGUGGAGGCCUCUUAGGAGCAGAAUGGGAUAGGACAUGGUAAGCACCACCAUAUAUAAGACGUAUGAACAAAGGAUUACAUGGAACAUGGAAAUCUUCAUGAACCUGGUGGCAUUUAUGCUGGAUCUUUUAAAACAGAAGAGUUUUUAGGUGGAGGUAGGAUUGAAAAACAUUUCAGUUGUACUAAACAGAAUGUCUAAAUGGACAGAUAAUCUUCUAGCCGUUUGGGAUUCACUCCUCUCAAUGACUAUAGAUGUUUCUUCCGUGUAAUGAAAGAACUUGAGACUUCAAAUGUGCAGCUUCAAGAACUGGGCUUUCCAGUUCUCUAUGAAUCUUCAUCUUUGCAAUGUGAUUUAGAGUUGAGUUAUAGUAUAAUCACAUGUCAAGGGUACUACCAUCCAACAUUUCAUCAAAUCCAGGUUGAAGUUAUCUUUAAAUUUGAGGCUUCAAAUUACUAUGCUAUUUUUUUACUUCUUUCUUGAUUCAGAAAGUUAAUGUUUAUGUAAAUUAAAUAACACCUGCAUUUUACUACUGGUCUAAUUUUACUUCUCACCUACUUAUUCUUUUCUUUAUGCUCACCUUCAAAUUUUCCACAUCUAUGUUUGCUUUUAUUUUCAUCCCUUUUAUGAAUGUUAAUAUUGCUUUUCCAAAUUUUUACUUUCCAAGACAUUUCAUUGCUAAAUUUGGAAAGAAUUUACACAAAUCCCAAGGGAAUUAAUAGCAAAAAGAAAAAUGAAACAAACUUCUGUGAACUGUAAAUUUUCAUGUUUAUUAAAUGCAAAAAAUCAUUUUUUAAAGAGAAAUAAACAAAACUGCUUUUGCUUUGUGCCUUCGCCUUCUGAGGAGAGCUCUGGAAAAAAAUGUCCAUCAGAUUACAUAUUUUAUUGAAUAUUUUAGUGAAAUCAACAUUCAAAUUAAGUUAGUAAGCUUUUGGUAUCAUGUAUGUGUUUAAAAUUGCUGUUAAAUGCUUAUAUCACAAUUUAAGUUUUUUGGGGAAAAAGUCUAUUUUGAUAAAAUAAUUAUUUAAAAUAUUGGCUUAAUUUUUAUAAGUGUGAGUACACUGUAUGGCAGAGAUGGAUAUACAAUUAUAUUUGUUCACAGGCUUAUUGGUGAUUUUGAGAAAUUUUUAUUUUAUCUCUAUGGAAACCAUGAGUCAUUCAUUCAUUUUCCUAGAUAUACAAAAUCCAAAUUCAUUUUAAAAUUUAAAAUUAAUUAAAAUAUAUUAGAAUAUCUUUCUGCAACUUGGUAACAUCAUUAUCUCCAUCAAAUGAGAUCUUCUCAGAUGGGAAUUACCUUAUUGCAUUGAGGGAAUUAUAAAGGUGUUAUUUUCAGAAUGAGAUCGAUAUCUCUUGAGCUUCUGUAUCUUCUUGGUCUGAAGUCCCUACAUUUUAAAGAAUUCAUUUAGUAAUAUUCUGGUGUUGCUCAUGAUUUAGAAGUUUUCAGUUGGAUACAAUAACAAUCGGUUAUCAAACUACUGUCUAAUUCUAUUUGUAUCUUUGGAACAUUUAGAUGUUAAAAAUUCACGAAUACUUUUAAAGAAGAUUUAAAAUGUUAGAGUAUAAAAAUAGAAUAUAGACAACUGCAAUUGAUCCCUCAGCUUGACAACAGAUGAAAAUUUUUAGAGCUAAACACAUUAUUUCUAUUAUCUAGCCAUAAAAGGAAAGUAUCAUGAUGACGAGUGCAUUUAUC